rnacentral:lncRNA from 1 species
AAGAGAGGACCCAAGAAGGGCCAGAAAUGAGGAGGAGCAUUGACAAGAGUAUUCAAUGACAGGUGACGAUCCUUGGCUCUUCUGAUGAAGUUGUAGGAGUGCCAGGAUAAAGCCUAGAAAUGUGAAUCCAUGGAGUAAGUUGGUUAUUAGACAGCUUGAGUUUGGCCACCAAGGGAGUGCACAUAAUCACCUGAGCAGGACCCUCCCAUUUUGGUUUUAAAGGGGGCUUUUCCCCCGGUGGGCAAUAAUAAACAAGUUGACCAGGUGUUAAGGAGGUAGGGUUUUGAGAGAGACUGGAGUCAGGAGGGAGCCAGUCUUGAUAGCGCCAGAGUUCAGAGUGUAGAUGGAAGAG